CAGCAGAUGCAGUCCAAACAGAUGUUGCCGGGUCUCGGCCCUCCCAGCCGCCAAGUUCUACAAGAGAAGCUUCUGCAGACAUUUGGGGAGAUUUCACCAAAGCUUCUGGGUCCGGCUCUCAGCCUCCGCAGAACUCGGACUGGGUCCAGUUCUGAAGCCGACGGGGAAGCCCAGAGGCCGAGGAGGGGCCCCUUGGUAGCCCAGAAACCGGGAGAUGGGCCGUGCCCCGCUGGCUCGCCAACAGAUCCUCUGCCUGGAUGGGUUUGACUUUGGUUUCGGACCUUGUAGCAAGGCACAGGAGGGCUCCUUGCGAAUCGUCUCUCGCUCCUUCGCUCUC